GCAAGUCGAGGGGUAACAGAUAUAAAGCUUGCUUUAUAUGCUGACGACCGGCGCACGGGUGAGUAACACGUAUGCAACCUACCUUUUACAGGAGAAUAACCCAGAGAAAUUUGGACUAAUACUCCAUAACGUUUAUUAAUCGCAUGAUUAAUAAAUUAAAGCUCCGGCGGUAAAAGAUGGGCAUGCGUCCUAUUAGUUAGUUGGUAAGGUAACGGCUUACCAUGGCUACGAUGGGUAGGGGCCCUGAGAGGGGAAUC
rnacentral:rRNA from 1 species